rnacentral:rRNA from 1 species
CAUCGGUGACAGGUGGUGCAUGGUUGUCGUCAGCUCGUGUCGUGAGAUGGUUGGGUUAAGUCCCGCAACGAGCGCAACCCCUAUUGUUAGUUGCCAUCAUUCAGUUGGGCACUCUAGCGAGACUGCCGUAUAACCGGAGAAGUGGGGAUGACGUCAAAUCAUCAUGCCCCUUAUGACCUGGGCUACACACGUGCUACAAUGGUUGGUACAACGAGUUGCGAGUCGGUGACGGCGAGCUAAUCUCUUAAAGCCAAUCUCAGUUCGGAUUGUAGGCUGCAACUCGCCUACAUGAAGUCGGAAUCGCUAGUAAUCGCGGAUCAGCACGCCGCGGUGAAUACGUUCCCGGGCCUU